AUUCCAAACAAAGCCAAGGACAAACUGGAUUGCUUCUUUGGCAACAAGCAGAACCCUGAUUUUGCAGCCACCAGAGCAGAAAAUUGCAGGCAACACAUCUAGAACAGAAAAUGUACAGAAAAAGAAAAAAAAUAGAUCCUCAAAACAUGGAUAACCUCAGAAAUGCAGGAGAGGUCCCAUGAUAGCAGAUAACCCAGCAAGAGAAUACAAGGAGCCCUUGCUUCAAAAUCCCAAUUUCUGACGGUUACCAUGGAUAAACACUAGUGGAUAAACACAUUUAUUCAUUUGUUUUUGCACCAGCCUCAAUCCAUUUCCCUACCUCAUCCAAUCCAGAAGAACUAAAGAAAAAACUCAAUAGCAAUUCAAAGACUCAUUAAGAUUUUAGACAUUCAAACAACUAUUACAAAAAAAGCCUCCUUUUGAUAGAAUUUCAUAAAGUUUCUCACCCUG